rnacentral:snRNA from 1 species
GGAUAUGAGGGCGUUCUGGCUGCGACAUCUGUCACCCCAUUGAUCACCAGAGUUGAUUCUGCUGAUCUGACUGGCUAGGCGGGUGUCCCCUUCCUUCCUCACCACUCCAUGUGCGUCCCUCCUGAAGCUGCGUGCUCGGUCAAAGUGGACGACCAUCGCUGAUAGAGCAGGACUGUUCUUCGGUCAAGGGUAUAUGAGUAGCUGCGCUUCCCUGCUAGAACCUCCAAACAAGCUCUCAUUACCAAGGAUUACAUACUGUACAUAAUUGUAUUUGCUAUCUUUUUAUACCACUGACAGUGCAGUAGGUUUUCUUA